rnacentral:rRNA from 1 species
GCAUAUCAUAAGCGAAGAAAAGAACCAACAGGGAUUGCCCUAGUAACGGCGAGUGAAGCGGCAACAGCUCAAAUUUGAAAUCUGGCUCUUUCAGAGUCCGAGUUGUAAUUUGCAGAGGGCGCUUUGGCUUUGGCAGCGGUCCAAGUUCCUUGGAACAGGACGUCACAGAGGGUGAGAAUCCCGUACGUGGUCGCUAGCUAUUGCCGUGUAAAGCCCCUUCGACGAGUCGAGUUGUUUGGGAAUGCAGCUCUAAAUGGGAGGUAAAUUUCUUCUAAAGCUAAAUAUUGGCCAGAGACCGAUAGCGCACAAGUAGAGUGAUCGAAAGAUGAAAAGCACUUUGGAAAGAGAGUCAAACAGCACGUGAAAUUGUUGAAAGGGAAGCGCUUGCAGCCAGACUUGCUUGCAGUUGCUCAUCCGGGCUUUUGCCCGGUGCACUCUUCUGCAGGCAGGCCAGCAUCAGUUUGGGCGGUGGGAUAAAGGUCUCUGUCACGUACCUCUCUUCGGGGAGGCCUUAUAGGGGAGGCGACAUACCACCAGCCUGGACUGAGGUCCGCGCAUCUGCUAGGAUGCUGGCGUAAUGGCUGUAAGCGGCCCGUCUUGAAACACGGACCAAGGAGUCUAACAUCUAUGCGAGUGUUUGGGUGUCAAGCCCGAGCGCGUAAUGAAAGUGAACGGAGGUGGGAACCCGCAAGGGCGCACCAUCGACCGAUCCUGAAGUUUACGGAAGGAUUUGAGUAAGAGCAUGGCUGUUGGGACCCGAAAGAUGGUGAACUAUGCUUGAAUAGGGUGAAGCCAGAGGAAACUCUGGUGGAGGCUCGCAGCGGUUCUGACGUGCAAAUCGAUCGUCAAAUUUGGGCAUAGGGGCGAAAGACUAAUCGAACUAUCUAGUAGCUGGGUCUGCG